CUAUAGCUCAUGAUAAAACUCUAAAACUCUGAAUAAACUUUGUCUCUCCAAUAUAAAGAAGUCUCCCCUUUUUAAAGGGGUAAACCUAGACUAAAGAGGAAGAAAAUAAAAUCUCCCUUUAAAAAGAGAAGAGACAAUUUCUAAAAUUCUAGUCUUUCUGAAAUCGUUUCUUUCCAAAUUGGUCUUUUUCAAUUAUGCUCGGAAAUCUUGUGAUAUUUCACGAAUCAUGCUCGCGGUCUUGUGUACGAGGUAUGCUUUGUCUGAGGUUGGCUUUGCGCGAGGCUUGAUGAGGUAUGCUUUGCGAGAGGUCUGACGAGGUCUACUUUGCGAGAGGUCUGUUCUGCGAUUUCACUUCUAAUUUCUGCCUAAAUCUUUCAACUAAGAGUUUUUCUUCCCAAAGAGUACAGAAUCUAUCAAUAUUGUAAAAAGGAAAGAAAUGCCCAUAAUUUAGCACAAUCAAAUCCAAUUUUACAAGAAAGAAUGUGCAUUAAAUAAGUAGAAUAUACACCUUAUCAGGGAUAUAGAGAAAAUAUGUUCUCAUUGCAUUGCAUAUAGGUAGGCAAAGUCUAAGUUAAUACCACAUGGAUCACAUACAAUCUUACCAGUUGCUACUAAGUCAUUGAUAGAUAUAUCUAUGGAUUUUAUAUUAGGAUUGCCUAGAACUAGGAGGGGCAAGGAUAAUAUUUUUUUUAUGGAUAGGUUCAAUAAAAUGAUAAACUUUAUAGCAUGCCAUAAAACUGAUGAUGUAGCAUAUAUAGUUGAUCUUUUCUUUAGGGAGGGGGUUUGAUUGCAUUGGAUCUUUAGAGCCAUUUUUGUUGGAUGUUAAGUUCAUGAGUCACUUUAGAAGGCGUUAUGGGGUAAUUAGGUACUAAACUAUUGUAGUCUAGUACUUGGCCAAAUAGAAGUAUUUAACAGGAUUUUGGGGAGUUUAUUGCAUGCAUUAGUAGGAAAGAAUUUGAAAACUAAGAUGAUUGUUUGUCAUUCAUUGGAAAUUCACAUAUAAUUAUACUGUGCAGUCUUCUGCUAGUUUUCUCCAUUAGAAAUUGUGUAUGAUUUUAAUUCUUUAACUGCUUUGGAUUUAACUUUUAGCAUGAGGCAGCACAGCACAGAGCAUAAAGCAGGAAUGCUAAAAUUUUAAACUUUAGCAAAUUGAUUAGCAAACUAAAGCAUAUGUUUAUACAGUAGCAAAUGACUUAGCAAACUAAAACGUAUAUUUAUGAUAGUAGCAAAUUAAUUAGCAAACUAACAUAUGCAAUAGCAAAGUAUAAGCAAGCAAAACUAAUCUUGUCUCAUUAAUUGAACACUCAAGCCAUUAGUGCAAAACUAAUCUUGUCUCAUUAAUUGAACACUCAAGCUAUUAGUAUAUUUUGGUAAAAAUACAAACUACAUCAAAAACUAAAAAGAAUGGUGAGAGGUCUUACUUGCUUUGUAGCACAAGCAAACUUUUUCCUUGAAACUCUUAGACCCAUAAUGUGAGUCAUCUGGUUUUUCUAGACAAAACACUAUAAUAAUUCUCCAAACUCUUGUGAGAUCUUCUUUGCUCCAAGCCCUUUCGAAUGACCAACAAAGAAAACUGAGGUUUUCUUAAACAACAAAGGAGAAUAGGUUAUUAAACGAUAAUUUCUCUCCAAUUUACCAUGAAAGUUUCAGCAUGCAAAAGGAAAGGAAAAACUGAUAACUUUUUAUCCUAGCAUAAAGUGGAAGAAAAUGAGAACGA
rnacentral:lncRNA from 1 species